rnacentral:rRNA from 1 species
AUUGAACGCUGGCGGAAUGCUUUACACAUGCAAGUCGAACGGCAGCACGGACUUCGGUCUGGUGGCGAGUGGCGAACGGGUGAGUAAUACAUCGGAACGUGCCCAGCCGUGGGGGAUAACGUAGCGAAAGCUACGCUAAUACCGCAUACGAUCUACGGAUGAAAGCGGGGGAUCGCAAGACCUCGCGCGAUUGGAGCGGCCGAUGGCAGAUUAGGUAGUUGGGGGGGUAAAGGCUCACCAAGCCGACGAUCUGUAGCUGGUCUGAGAGGACGACCAGCCACACUGGGACUGAGACACGGCCCAGACUCCUACGGGAGGCAGCAGUGGGGAAUUUUGGACAAUGGGCGCAAGCCUGAUCCAGCCAUUCCGCGUGCAGGAUGAAGGCCCUCGGGUUGUAAACUGCUUUUGUACGGAACGAAAAGGCUCUGGUUAAUACCCGGGGCUCAUGACGGUACCGUAAGAAUAAGCACCGGCUAACUACGUGCCAGCCGCCGCAGUAA